CAAGUUACUUAGAAGGCAAUUAAUUUAUAGCGAGGAGUAAAUAUUUUCUUGAUAAGCUGACAGUUGACUAUAUAAAUGGAUUUUUAUUUUGCUUACAUAUCAAUCAGACAAGGUCUUUGCGCCAAGUCUUUCUAUAUGACAUAGAGAGGGGGAAGAAGCAAGGAGAACCAGCCAAACUACUUAGUAUUGCCGGACCUUGUGAGUUGCGUCUUUGUUAUUACAAACAAUGGAUGCUUGUAUGUUCUAUAUUCUCUUUUUCUCCAUGUUUCUAACCAUAAAGGCUCUUGAAUCCAACUGCCCAACGGUUAAGUGCAGUCACGACGGUCCUGAUAUUCGUUUCCCAUUCCGGGUAGCAGGCCGGCAGCCCCAGCACUGUGGUCAACCUGGUUUCGACCUUGUCUGCAAAGAAAACACCACCAUGAUUGAUUUUCCAUCUUAUGGACCCUUGGUUGUGAAAUCCAUCUCUUAUGACUUCAGAAAACUCAGUCUUCUUGACCCCAAAAAUUGUGUCCAUGAAGUCUUUCUUAAUCUCAACCCCUCUGGCACACCUUUCCAGUAUUACUAUCUUUUGAAGAAUUUCACAUACCUCAACUGUUCAACCAGGCUUUCGCCUUCUCUCAACGAAGUUUCAUGCUUGAGUGACUCCAGGAAUCAUGUUUACACCGUAGAAUCCUCGUUUCACAUGCCAUUUUCUUGCAGGCAAUUGAAAACUAUUCCCAUUCCAUUUUCAUACAGUCCUUAUCUUGCUGACAAUAGUUUUGGCCUUGGAUUGACUUGGAGUUUGCCUGGAUGUGAAGAUUGUGAAUCAAGAGGAGGCUCGUGUGUGUUCCAGUCCAAAGAAGGACUGAAAACAGGCUGUCCCAGCAUAGCACAGGAUAAAGAAUGGCCAUUUCAGUUUUUGUAUCUGCAGUCACAACACAGUAAAUAGAACAGGAUUGAUCGUUGAAUAUAACGUUUGCUAGCUUGAAAAACACAACAAAAACAUUCCUGUUUGUAGUCAAGUGUAAAUUGUGGAUCAACAGUAUACUCUGCUUGUGUUAAUCCCGGUCCACUGCUAGCUACUAGACAUUGCUGACUAAGAGGUUACUGAUCUGAUGCCUGGAACAGGUUUUUCAAUUGUACAUUUAUUGUCAAGUGGAACUGGGUCUAUGAUCUUGAUCAUUCUGGUGUUUGUUUUCGUGAUGACAACAAUGAUUAGCAUCAAAGUCUACUUUAGGCAGAAACUGAAGGUGGAUGAAGAGGCAGAAAAUGAGAAUCUACUUUAGGCAAGUAUACAAGUACAAAUGAAUGUUUCGUUCCCCGCAUCCUCAAGACAACCUUUAAAGAUUGAGAUUUCAGAAGGAUAUUAUUAGUAACAGAAGUCGAGCGCUGUCGCUAUGUAUUGUAGAAAAACAGACUUAGCUAGCUAUAGAUAAUUAAACUGCGAUAUGUUUUGAGUUGGGUUAAUUUUUUCUUGAAAGUAAAUUUUUAGAUGUUAUUAAUAUUUUUUUCUGGUAAAAUAAAAUUUGAAUUGUGUGA